GAUUGCCCAGCUACCGUAAAGCUGAAAGGGUUGACCGUGUUUACAUCCGACGAUUUGGUCUUGUUGACGUUGAUGGUAAUACCUGCCACUGAUGAGCGAUCGGCAAGAUCAUCGAGCUUGCUCUGCAUAUCAGAGCACCGUUGAGCUAGGAGAGCAACGUCAUCAGCCAGAUCGAAGUCAUUUAGGUGCUCCAUGGUAAUGGGCCGCCACAGCAAUCCUCGAUUUGAUUCACGGUCAAUCGCACCAACCAGGAUCUCGUCGAUUACGACGAGGAACAGUAGCGGUUAUAGUAGGGUAAUGGUUCCCUUAUUAAGCAUGUAGCUCCCAUUUUCAUCCCACGAAAAACAAAGGAUUGAAGCGCUGUUUGUUUUGUUUCUUAUUUUUGUAUUUUUUGUUAGAAGUGAGCACCCAUGAAAACAAAAAGAACGUAGUCAAUCGGUGCCGUAAUCGCUUGUUUUCGAAUAGGAUGAAAAUGGGAGCAUGAGAUUACUGAUGGCACACAUACCCUAUACAUCCUUGUCUCACUCCAGCAACGACCCGGAUGGGAUCGGACAAAACACCGUUGUGCAGUACUCUGCACGGAAAUCCCCUGUACUGUGCUUCAAUGAGGCCGAUGAUUUUCUCAGGGAGUCCCUUGCGCCUGAGGGCUUCCCACAUGUUUUCGUGAUUGAGACGGUCGAAAGCUUUUUCGUCACCAGGGUGCGAGGCCGCCAUUUUUAAGAAUCUAACACCUUGUAUGUAAACAUUUGUGUAUCCACAAAGGAUUCCAUUGUGGAUACACGAUAGAUGUUGGCUCCUGUCAGAUGCAUUAGGUGGGAUUAGGGUUGCCACAUACGUGUUUUUCGUAAUCAAUGAACACCAGGUAGAGAGACUCUUGGCAUUCAUUUGUCUACAACAGGAUCGUUUCACUUCCUUCUCGAGAGCCGAAUAGCGCUGACGGGCUACGGCUUUGGAUCCUCGUGGUUUCGCUCAUUCUCUCGCUACUUUGGCGUUCUUUCGAUCCUCUGCCGUCUUCCAUGUGUCUUCUGCGAUGCACUAUGCACUGCAUUAUCUGAGUGCGUAGCUCACCUAAAUUAUUCUCGCCGGUGGAGAUGAAGGCGUUCUUGAUGGCACUCCAUUUAUCUUCUUCUGUUUUAUUAUCCGGAAUAUCCGCAGCUCGGUUCUCCAGCACCUCGAACCUUUUCCCCUCAGCGUCUUCCAGUCAGUGUGUGUUGAACCGGCGCCCGGUUUUCAUCUCUCUAAAAUAAAAGCUCUCAUUUUUGGGUAACACCCAUGCCGCACAGGGACUGUGUUGGAAACACACAUUUUUAAAAUUGCUCGUACGCUCACAUUUUUGCAAAAUAUCAAUAUUUUUCGGUAUUUGAAGGUGAAAAAAAAAACGAUCAAAUCUGACUAUACAUGUCAAUGGUUGCUACUCCGUUAUUGAUCUGAGCUGGUACCAAUUGCACUGAGAUCCAAAUGAAUAAGGGCUGGGACACUCCACUUAUUCUCAAAGUGCAAUUCUAGCAGCUCAUACAUUUUGGAUCAAUACCGGCGCCGGCCACGUCCUUAUAGUCAGUUGGGAAGGGAAAGGAAUGUUAGAGUGUGCUGGUUGUUGCUACUAAAGACCGAGAUCACCUCUGCAUCCCCACACCCAGCACGGACUGGGGUAUUUGUUAGACGGAAAGGAUGGGAGAUCUGGGAGUCACCGUUGGGUCGGUGAUGCGAUCCAUGGAUAGGGGUUAUUUUUAUAAUGUAUAGAUUGUGUGAUGAAUGAGGUGAAUAAGGUCAAGCGGCACAGCACGCUUUGGUUGCAUAACUUGUAGGCGUUAUAUACACUGUGCUGUGAGUGGAAAUUGGAAAAGAGGGAAACGACUUUUUUCCAAUUCGUUUCUGGUUCUAGCGAUGGCUAUGAACAUAUGAAUAUACAUGAGCUGUAUAUGUAGAGAGGAGAGAGAGAGAGAGAGAGAGAGAGAGAGAGAGUGAGAGGAAGUGGAUAGAAAGAUACAAAGUAGGAUGAAAAGGGACGGGCCAGGGAUUGAACCCAUGACCUUCUGCAUACGAAUCAGAAGCGGUAGCCACUAGACCACCAAGCCCGUCUCAUAUUUUUCGGUAUUUGAAGGUGGUUUAUAAACUCAGUGAGGUUGCCAUGUGGAAAUUAUUGCAAAAUACAUGUUCAUGUGAGCGUACGAGCAAUUUAAAAAAAAUGUGUGUUUCCAACACAGUCAUGUGCGGCAUGGAUGUUUACUAAAAAUGUACAGGCCGAACACAUUUUUGAGCGUAGCCGUUUUUGCGUGAUCUCCUUUCGAUGGAUCCCAGCAACGUGUAGCCGGAUCUCGCCGAUUAGGACAUGAUGGUCGGCGCUACGUUUGUUCAGCAUAUCGAGCGAUCCCCCAAUCAUCAUGUCAUUGUUGCCACAACAAUGUUGACUAUGUUGACUAUUUAUUAGAAUCUUCUUUUGAGUGCGUGUCAUAAUUGACUCUAGGAACUUCGCCAGAAAUUUCUCCACAAGUCCAAAAGAAUAUUGUUAAGUUCUGUUCAAGAUAAUAUUUGUGUGGUGUCCGCAGAGGAACUUCGUAGAGAAAUUUCCUGGAAACUGUGUGAACGAAAAUAGACGAACUUCUAUUUAAGGGUAUUUCCAAAGGUCUUCUGACCCAGUUUUUGGAUUUCCCGUGAUUUUGCGCUACUGAUUCGCUUUAGGGGCAGGCGGGGCAUAAUGAGCAGCUUAAGCAUUUAGUCACCAAAUCCAGUAAAUCCUUAUUUCAAGAAAUAGCCUUUUAUAGUCGUGGGAAGAAAGGGGUUAAGGAGUUUCUAAACGUCAAUAAGUAAUAGGGGAACUUACGCAUUUUCGGCCGUUUUGUUCUCUUCGUCAUGAGGGGGUUUAAAAACUUGUUUAACUCAAAUUUUGCCUCAAAUCUUUCCCAAAUAAGCUGAGUUAUACGACCAAGUUUUAAGCAAUUUGGCCGACAAAAAAAACUCUUAUAACUGGAUAAUACGCUUUGUAGAUUAGGCCUGUCCACCUGUGUUUUUCAGGGCACUGUCAAAGUUACCCCGAAAUAAAAAUCUGAAUCUCGCUCAUAUGAAAAACUCAAAGUCACCCAAAAUAUUUAAAAUCAUCAAAUCUUUCAAUUGCAAUUGAUAACUGAUACCCCAGUACUUGUUUUAAAAAUAUAAAAGUAGGGGAAAUACUGUUACAUGAAAAAAUAAUAAGUAAAUUCGUUAAAAAACUAUCAAAGCUACCCCAUUUUACGGUAACCAAAAAACAUGAGAGUUAUAUGAUGCCGUUUUAAAAUAUCAAACUUAUUAGGUAUAUUAGGGUAUUCCAGAACAAAAUCUAUCAAAAAAUCAACUUUUAAGGUUUUUCUGAUCACAAAUGUGAUAAUUACACAUGUUUCCUUCAAUUUUAUUGGCACACGUUGAUCGGAGAAGUUGUAGCAAGCAAGUAUAGCUUUCAAUUUCUGCCGAAAUAAUUAAGUUUUGACAAGUUUUAGUGUAGUUAUGAUUUUUUGAAGUUCAAAAAUAGUCGAGAACACAAAAUUGGUUUGAUGCACCUCUUAAUUUCAAUGGAUUUGGCUGGAAUUUUGACCAGUUACUUCUUUUACGUUGCCAAUCAAAAUAUGGGAGUGGACUUGAGAAUCAGAGAACAUUUUUGAAAAGCUGGACAGGCCUACUAUAGAUAUUGAUUUUUCCAAGUUAAAUUUGAAGUUUUUUGGCAAAACCUUACUAUAAUAGGCAUCAAAACAAAGCAAAAUUAAAACUGAAAUUUGUUGAGAUAUUAUUAUUUUUCAUUGGUUACUCAUUUUGCUCCCAUCCUACUAUAUAAAGACUUUUUAAACUAUAUUUUUUCAACAAAACAUUUUACAGAUAUUUGAAAAAUGUUAUGAAUACAUUUAAUUGACUCAGGAAAUAUCGAGAAACUCGAUAAUAUUUCGUCAUUCAUUCAAUGGGUUGACUAAGGUACAAUGGAACAAUUUGUGCUGAAUAUGUGAAAGUUUAUAGUGAAAUGCAGGGUGCUCACUGCUCAUUAUGCCCACCUGCUUAUUAUGCCACACCAUCCUCUGCUUUACUUUUCAAGCUUAUCCCUUUAUAAGGCAGUGGCAACUAUAUUGCCAACUUAUACACUAAUUUUUUUCUGUUCGUUUAGAAAAUUUUUACAACUUCUGUUUUAACUGAUGGAUACAUUAGGUCUUUGUGAACACUCAUGAUUUUUUUGAGCCAUAACAAAUAUGAAUGGGCUUUUUAAGAACAAAAUGUCUCUCCAAAAACAUUCAUUUUUGAGUGCAUGAAGGUUUAUAAGCUCGAAAUUCUGUUAUGGUGAGCGAAUUGAAAAUCGAAUGAUGAGGAAUAAAAGGCCUAUGUUCCUUUUACUUGUGGACAAAAUUUCAACUGAAUUGCUUCAUUAUUAUUAAAAACUCAGCCUUUUGAAAAAAUGUACUAUAAUAAAUGGGCAUGUACUAAACUGCCGUGAAUCACAAGUCAGUCCCAUCUGCAUUUUAGACAAAAAUGAGUAAAUGGCCGUUUUCGAGCUUUCUUCGGAUGAUCUUUUAGCUGCGAGCAAAAAAAUUUAUAGUUUGUUCAGUAAAAUUGAAAAACAACACCAAGUCAGAUUGUCCCAUGAUGAAAAGUAAUCGCAAGUCAGUCCCAUUACGAACUUGUGCACCCUUCAGUACCAAACCUAACACUAUUUUAGCCAGUUUUAUAUUUUUCACUGUUACGUUUUCACGUUUGAAACAAUAUGUGAAAGUUUAAUGAUGAUCGCAGAAGUUUUCAAUUCUUGGCGAUUUUUUAGAGUUCCACAUAGAAAUCGAAUUUGAAAACUUCAGAGGCCAUUUUCUCAAUGCCUACUUUUACAUAUGGGACUGACUUGCGAUUCACGGCAGUACAAUUGCCAUAACUUCCAAAAUAAUUAACCAAUCGAGUUCAAAUCCACACAAGUAACUCAUGAAUAUUAGGGCAAUAACCUGUCAAAAAAUCAGCAUGAUUGAUUAACGCAUCACAAAAUAACAACAUUUUAAACUUUGUUGACAAAAAGUUGAAAUUUAGACCAAUUUUUUUCAUACAAAAUCGACCAUCGAAUUUUUUGAAAAUAAAAACGUUUUUGUUCAUUACACCACAUGUACUUUCACGGUGCCCCCACAGACCGUUAUUAUAAAAUAAAAAUGUCCAUAAAAACUAAGUUCAGGGAUCGAAUCCUGGUGCCAUUCUGCACCUCUGGGCAAAUUUUUAAAAUAAUCCCUAGGAGGAAUCUCGAGAAAUCUCGAUUUGAUGUUUUAUACUAAGAAAUUUCAAAGAAAUCCAUGUUCAGAUUGGACAAUAUCGUUUAAAUACCUACACAAACUUUCCCUAAAGUGUUCAAAGUUGUUUCAAACCCGUAUUUAUUUAAUAACGUUACUUCAAUUAUACAUAUUUACUACUCAUCUAAAUCAAUUAGCUGAUUAAACUGACUUACCAAACAUUUGGCAGUGUACAAAAAUCAGAAAAAAGAUGCAAAAAACGUUGCUUGUCAUGUGUGCUUUUGAUUACCAACGUUAGGGUUAGAAAAACUGGAGUAGGUCUUUGAACACAGUUUUCUUAAAAUGAAUAACGUUUUCAGUCACAAUAGUCGAAAACAAAUUUAUACUUUUUUUCGAUAUUGCUUAGCAUUUGAAAAGGGGCGUUCAGUGUUUAGUAAUUGUAUUGUUCCUUGCUGUAAAUGUAUCGCUCCUAUAUGGGGCGAGUAUGACACAUAAUCGAUCCGAUGACCGUAAGGACGUGGCCAGCGCCGUUAUUGACUUUCAAAUGUUGAACUCUCGAAUUGUGCACAUUGAGAAUGGUUAGCUAGCCCCAAGCCUUGCUUUCAUUCGUUCUCUGUGCAACUCUGGUAAAUCACGGAGUAGCAACUACGGUGUGUACGAUUAACUUUGAUUUGCUUUGCCUAGAAUUUUGAACAUUUUUUUCAAUGAAAAGUGCUACAUAUUCUUGCACAUGAACACUAGAAAAUUACUGAGAAAUAUGUGUUAACCCUGUAACACCCAAAUUUUUUAUUUUGAUCUAAAUAUCAUUUUUUGUCAUUUAAAAUCAAUUAAACAUGUUUUGGAAGAUGAUUCUUUUUAACUCUCGAUUUCGUGAAUUUCAGUUUUUAAUUUUUAUAAUUUUUAUUUUUGAACGUCCCCACAGUUUUAUAUUUUUCCUGGAAGCUUAUUUGGGGUGUGGAUUUUUUGAGAUGAAAACAUUUUGAGAUUUUAUGAUUAUUAUUGAAAUAUUUUUGUUUUAAUUUUUAUUCACAGAAAAUUUUAUUUUCCGUAUAAUUUAACGGAAAAUAAUUUUAGAGUGUAUUCGAUUCCCUUAAACUUUAAAACUAGGAAAGAAUGUGUUGCGACGGUAUUGCAUGUAUUUGAGUGAAACUGGCAACUGUCCUAUCCAAUAGGAAUUAAUUGAAUGUGAAUGUACAUAUUAGAAUUGUAAGGAGAUUUAGUGUUAAGUUGAGCGUUGAGUGGAAGAGUUCGUUAGUGAUUAAGAAACUAUCAACAUUGAAGCUGCCGUUAUCAAACGCUGCUCUCGAUAUGUGUUUCCCUAAUCCCGAAGAAACUCGCGCCAACAAACUUCAAUGUUGAUAAAUCAUCAACACAAAGAGAUCGGUAUGGCUACCCGACUGGACGCCCUCAAGCAGCAACUCGAAGAGUUCGAAGUCCGGAGAGCGCUUUGGCGAAAACAGUGCCAGGAUGAAGAAAGACGCAUGGCACUGGAAUUCGAGCGCGAGUUUGCGGAGAUGGAUGAAAAGUUCUCCAAAGCGAUGGAGAAAAUUGAAUUGGAGUACACGGCGAAAAAAGAGGCACUAAUGUGCAAAUAUAGUGGGAAAGGUGUCCGAGUACAAUCGACAACAGUAAGGUCCGAUUCGUGCAACGACAAAACCCAAUUACAGUUUGCCUGCUCCAAUCCAAUCAAAACGACAUCCCAACCACAUUUCGUUGCUCCGCGAACGCAACUAACCAAGCCGCCUUCAGUCGGCUGCGAUGACAACAAAGGCAUCCCGCACACGGUCCCAUCGUAUCGACGACGACGACCAACCGUUCUAACAGGAAUCAAUCAGCAUACAGCGUGCGCCUAUCUUCUGAUUCAACAGAGAUAGAAGCGAAACAAUCGACGGUGAAUAUGCUACAAAAAAGUGCAGUAAAGAAAGCCCGCGUGGUCGUCAGUGUUGGUCGCAACGCUGUUUCUAGAUGUAUUGUUUUCGACCCCGGCGGAGCUGCUCUGCACAUUACAGUGCACAGUGGCACAGAAAGGUAUUAUUUGAAAACUUUAUUUCCAACAAUUAAAAUGUAUAUAGAUUCAAAAAGUGAUGAGAUAGUUAGUUACCAGUUGUCACGGAGGGGAGAAUGUUGCGACGGUAUCGCAUGUAUUUGAGUGAAACUGGCAACUGUCCUAUCCAAUAGGAAUUAAUUGAAUGUGAAUGUACAUAUUAGAAUUGUAAGGAGAUUUAGUGUUAAGUUGAGCGUUGAGUGGAAGAGUUCGUUAGUGAUUAAGAAACUAUCAAGUAAGUUAAUUUUAAGUAAAACCAUGUAAAUAAUUAAAAUGAAUUCUUUAAAAUAUAGCAUUGAAGCUGCCGUUAUCAAACGCUGCUCUCGAUAUGUGUUUCCCUAAUCCCGAAGAAACUCGCGCCAACAGAAUGAUUUGGGAAAAAAAUUAAAUAUGUUAAUUGUAGCGACUCAAUACAAAAUAAACAAUAACUUCUGAAAGGUGACUAAAACAUCGAUUUUUCAAUGAUUUAAAAAAAAAAUGUAAAUACGCUUUAAAAUAUACCAAAAACCAUUUUGAGAUAUACAAAACAGUCCUAAAUAUCAGCCAAAAAUAUAAAAAAAUGAUUUUUCACGAAACAAAAAUUACAAAAAUGCUCAAACUAUACCCCGUCUAAAGGCGGGGUAGAGUAUUAGAGGGUUAAAUAAAGAUCUAAUAGUACACCAAUUUUGGAAGAACAGGAAACUACGACGUUAACAUGGGACACGGUUUAUAUGCGAAAAUAUAAAAAAAAUGCAAAAACUCUAGUUCUUGUAUACUUUUUGAGUUCCAUUUUGGUCCCAUAUCAACUGUACAAAAUAUCAGGUCGAUCGGGAAAACUAUUUUUUUGCCGAUAUUCUUAAUUUUUCAGACGAUUUUAUGAGAAAAUUUACUUUUUCAAUGGAAAAUCGCUUGGGGUCACCCCUUGGUCCCUAAAAAUAAUUCCACGAAUGAUUUCUGUAGCAAACUUCACGAUGAAUUAGACCUCCGAAGACCGCAAAGCGAUGCGAAGUUCAUGGAAAAAAGUUAUGAAGCCUUACCCGAUCGAUAAAAUGACGAGAUUUGAUUAAGGUACACCGGGGCAAGUUAAAACGUGUGGGGCAAGAUGAAACGCGAAGUUUUGAAAUAGAUUUCAAUAUAAUUUGGAAAUUUAUCCAUCGCCAGAAGAUUGUUUGAACCAAAAACUAUGUGUUAUGGCAAUCAAACUGUUUACUAUCAUUAGAUAACAUCAUGUUGACCCGCCGUUUCAUCUUACCCCACCCGUUUCAACUUGCCCCGGUGUACCUUAUUUAUUGUUAUUCCUUACAUGUAAAACAGCGUUUCCAUGCUAUUCGGUUUUCAGUCAAUAACUUUUUCCACAUAUCUUAGAUCCCUUUGUGGUCUUCGGAGGGUUGGUUCCUCGUAAUAUAGUAAACAUGUUGUAGAAUUAGGGAAAAUUUUAAUGUAUAACACUGGGAUGUGUAUGUUCAUAAAACAAUAGGGAAAAAUCGCUUUUCAAUGCUUACGUUAAAACCGAUGCAUGGCUUGGAAAAACAUACUUAUGUCAGUUUCGUCAGUUAAUUGAGUUGGGUGAGUAGUAAAUAUGUAUAAAAAAAGUUGCGUUGGUAAAUAUAUACUGGUUUGAAACAACUUUGAAUACUUUGGGGAGUUUUUUUUGUAGGUAUUUAAGCGAUAUUGUUGAAUCUGAACAUGGAUUUCUUUGAAAUUUCUUAGUAUAAAACAUCAAAUCGAGAUUUCUCGAGAUUCCUCCUAGGGAUUAUUUUAAAAAUUUGCCCAGAGGUGCAGAAUGGCACCAGGUUUCGACCCCUAAACUUAGUUUUGAUGGACAUUUUUAUUUUAUAAUAGCGGUCUGUGGGGGCACCGUGACUUUAUAACACCGCUAGCCAUGAUGGUCUCCAAUAGCGGAAGGUCCGAAAGAGAUUGAAACUAUUGAGAAAUCAUCAUGUCUACAGGUCGUAAGCCCUGAUAAAGUGUGGAACGUUUUGAUGGCUGUGAUCCCUGACCAUCAUGUCAAAACCCAGGGAUACCCAAAGUGACCAUACUGUUAGGGUGUAGGGGUUGCAUGUGUGAGGCGCAUAUAUUGACAGGCAUUGCUAUGGACCGUUAGGGCUGAGUAGGGUCGAGGAAUGGAUCUACGAUUGCUGAAUUAUACUAAAAAAUUCGUGAUUCAGCAGUGGUGGCACCGCUUUCCGCUUUUGUUCGGCCUUGGUGGUUUGUGUGGGGUAGUGCGUGUCGGUGUGUGUGCUUUGUGCGUGCGGUGCUUACGGCUUCAGCAGGGUGAUUACUUGGGUAGUGUGGGAUAAUUGGGUUUGGGACUGAGGGGGUCGUCGUUGAUAAGGCCGACAUCAUUGAGUGCUCAGUGUUGGCGGUUGUAUUGGUGACGAUUUCUUCAGCCUUAAGAUCUCAUUUAUACCACGUACAGAUUUUUGGGAAGAGGGAGUACUUUGUAAUGCAAGAGAGGGAUUUAAACUCUGCGUUACGGGUUGGGCGAGGUCAUGCAGAUAGACUCAACCCAGGUGACCGUGCGGCUCGGACAGUGAUGCAUGAAUGAGUGCGGUGUGGGUGAGGUGCGCUGCCCUGUGGGUGCAGUUGAGUCCGGGUUGGAGUGGAAAGAGACCCUUCUCUACUCUAGGUCGGUUUCGGUUGUACGGGCGUGGUAGUGUUUGUCUUAUUUGUGCCGUGUUGUGCGUGAUUUGCGGCUCGAGCUGCGUGGUUACUUGGGAAGUAUUGUACUCUGUAAUCUAGAUUUUGGUUUUAAGAUGAAGCUAAGGCUGGGCUGUGCCUCGGAUUUGUUGGGCGCAGGUCGGGAGAGCUGGUGGCAGUUUGUGCUGGGGGGUUUACUCGAUUGGUUAUUCACUGAUGGUGGCCAGUCGAUCGACUUAUCGGCGCUGCCUGUCAUUUGGUUCUUGGGGUUUGUGCUCUCGAGGUUCGGGGCGUUGCUUCGUUGUAUCUUUGCUUUAAUACUAACACGUUGUUUGAUUUAAUUGACUGUGUUUUACAGGCGUUUAACUCAUUCUAUUUCAUAGAUUGCCAAAUUUAAGGGUAAUGGUUCAAUAGGGUGUUAGCUAUCAGAGUGGAUUAGAACGAGUUGGCGCCUACAAUACACCAACACUGACACACACACUCCAAUACUUACACGCACACAUGCACCUACAACUAGCUGUAAAAGACCAGUGGGCGGGACAAUGGUGCCUACCCAACAGUUGUAGGUGGGGUGUUUGGCUUAGCUACAUGACUUGGUCCGGCAAGCCCAUAAACAUCAAUUGGUAGACGUAUUGCCUAGUGAAAAGACAACGCAGAUGGGCGAAAGCCAGGGGAUGCGUUGAUAAUAGCAGAAUAGAAUAGCAGAAUAAUAACGGUCUGUAGGGGCACCGUGACUUUAUAUUCCAAUGUAGAACGAGUGGAUUCCGUGCCUGGUUCUCUCCGCCUUAUAAAGGGUUAUAGGCUUUUCCCAACUGCGCACUGUGAUCGAAGAAAUGCGGUUUCUUGGGCGAUCCAGGCUAGGCAUUUACCAUAUGGUAUGCCUCAAGAUAGGAUGAAACAUUCUUUCUGAAUUGCAAUCAGCCCUUAUACCUUAACCAUCGGUCCAUAAUUCUAAUCAUCUCGUUACAGAAUACGAAUGAAUUGUCAAAAAGAACCCCUACUAGAGAAAUCCAUGAGAAGAUUCUGACAUGAAGUAUUGUUGGAAUUCCAAAUAAAUUACUCCGGAAAUCCUUGUGAAUGCCAUUUGCAUUAUUUUAUGUUUAACUCUCUUAAACACAACUGGAAUAAAAGUCAAAAAUCUCAAAACAGUAUAGACAAUUUUCUAUUUGGUAUAAACAAAAUCUUUUGAUAAAACCUUUCUUCAGUCGCGCAGUUGGCCACCGCCACCAUCACGCUAAUGCUGAGUAGGUACAAAAAGCGAGAUUUUUUCGACAUGUUAUGUUCCGUAUUUAGCAUAUAGGAUCUAGUUUAAAAAAAUCACAAAAAAUCUCAUAUAAAAGGAGUAAUAAUGAUUAUUAUGGACUUUCAUUACCAAGGGAAAUUCAUGUUCUAAGCAAAUUCCCGGUAUUUUUCCGGUUGUUUGCAAUUCCCGAUUUUCUCGGUUGAGUAGUCACCCUGUAAGUUGGAGGUGGAUUUUCGUUACAUUAGCUUGUUUCCAACACUUGAUUGAGGAUAUCAUGAAAAUAAUUUUGUAAAAUAUAACUGUAGUCGAUAGUUUAAAUUUAGCAAUAACUAAACUUGUGAACUAUUGAGCUAAAUGUACCCCUAGCAUGAAUCCCUAGUUACACCAACGAUUAAGAGCAUGCUGCACUGCAGGAAAAGUUGCACUUGAACCGGGUUAAAUCAAGCCGAUUCUAGGUCACUGUCCUUGACUACUAUGCAAGUACGCAUAGUCAGUCGAUCUCAUUGUUAACAAGAUUUUCCAACAGUCUAAAGUAAGUUGAUUGAGAAUGGCCAUUGACCAACACAUACAACGAUAAACG